rnacentral:lncRNA from 1 species
CAGAGAGAGGAUUUAUGUGCAUUUCAUUCUGUUUGAAGAAAAGCCAUCGGUCGUGAAGCCUACAGCAAGAGGCAGAGGAAAAUUCCGGGUUUUUUUUGGUUUUAUUGUUUUGGUUUUUCACAGAGCCAAAGAGUGGAGUUGAACUCCCAACCGACAAAGCUCUUCCUCAGAAGGAAGACUGAACAUCUGCAUCAUGCUUUUUUUAUUAAAAUUAUUUCUUCAGAGAAAAUGCCUCUUAACCCCCAAGGUUUUUCCGCUGUGGAGCUGAGGCAACUUUUGGGUGUGAAAAUCGUGGGCUGGGUCACCUAUUCCUUCAAAAAUCAAUGUUUUGGGCAAGUUUACACCUCAUUGUUUCACACUCAAACCGGGAAAACCAGAAAAGCGCUUUCACUCCAAACUUUUCCACCACUCCCCCCGAAAUUACCACUGAACCCUAAUUAACCCCUGGUGUCUUUGAAGCGAAGGCGUUGUCAGGAGCAGAAAUCGGGGCUCGGAGCUCUCCUAAAGCAGAGCCCCCGGAGCCGAGCGCUCCCCCAGCCCCUCCUGGGAGGAUUUUGGCUGCAGGAUGCUGCGCUGAGCUACUCCCACCGCCCGGGCCCUCCCCCUGGCCCGGCUGGGGCUGCACCUUUUCUGCCCUGCCCAGGAGCGAGCCCUGCACUCCUCCUGUCCGUCUGUCCUGCCCAGGAGCGAGCCCUGCGCUCCUGCUGUCCGUCUGUCCUGCCCAGGAGCGAGCCCUGCGCUCCUCCUGUCCGUCUGUCCUGCCCAGGAGCGAGCCCUGCGCUCCUGCUGUCCGUCUGUCCUGCCCACACCUCCGCCGAACAAAGGAGCUCUGGGCACAUUCCCAGGACCCACAGCAAGGGAACUCCAGGACGGGUCCUUGGCGCGCGGGGGCUGCUGCCAAAAUCCAUCUUCCUCCUCCUCCUCCUCCUCCUGCUGCUGCUGGUGCUGCUGUGGCCGGACAGAGCUCCCGGGGCGCUCCUGGACGCGGGGCCGGCAUGGGGGGCUGGGGGCUGGCCGGGCUCCUGCUGGGCUGCGGGGCCCUGCUGGCCGCGGCACAGUACGAGGGCGACCUGCAGACGGACAGACUGACGGCCUACGAGGACAGACCCCCGAGCAGGGUGAGGAGAAGGGGCCAGGACUCGCUGCGAGGGUGAGUUGGAGCUCUUGGUGAAGCGGGUAAAGCGGGCUUUGGGUGGUUGGCACAGCUGGGCUGGCAGGGCUGCCGAUUCCCUGAGCUCGGGAAGGAGGAGCUGGGGCUGGGGGGAUCCCAUGGGAGCAGUGCUGGGCACUGAGCUGCUUUUGGGGGCACUGAGCUGCUUUUGGG